UAGCUUAAUUGGUAAAGAAUCUGCCUGCAAUGCAGGAGACCUGGGUUCAAUUCCUGG
rnacentral:tRNA from 1 species